rnacentral:rRNA from 1 species
CUCUUCUUGAAUAUAUUUUGAUGUAUGGCCUGCCCACUGAAUAUUGAAGGGCCGCGGUAUUUUGACCGUGCAAAGGUAGCAUAAUCAUUAGUCUUUUAAUUGUAGGCUGGAAUGAAUGGUUUGACGAGGUGUUAACUGUCUUUAAUUUUUUUUAUUGAAUUUAAAUUUUAGGUUAAAAUGCCUAAAUGUUUUUUUGGGACGAGAAGACCCUAUAGAGUUUUAUAUAUUUUUAUAUUUUUUGUGUGAUGAUUUUUAAUAUGAAGAUUUAUUUUGUUGGGGUGAUGGGAAGAUUAGAUUAACUCUUUUUGUUUUUUUAUAUUUAUUUAUAUUUAUUUGAUCCAUUUUUAUUGAUUAUAAGACUAAAUUACC